rnacentral:rRNA from 1 species
CCUACGGGUGGCAGCAGUGAGGAAUAUUGGUCAAUGGCCGAGAGGCUGAACCAGCCAAGUCGCGUGAGGGAAGACGGCCCUACGGGUUGUAAACCUCUUUUGUCGGGGAGCAAAGCGAGUCACGUGUGACGCAUUGAGAGUACCCGAAGAAAAAGCAUCGGCUAACUCCGUGCCAGCAGCCGCGGUAAUACGGAGGAUGCGAGCGUUAUCCGGAUUUAUUGGGUUUAAAGGGUGCGCAGGCGGAGGUGCAAGUCAGCGGGAAAAGCCCGGGGCUAAACCCCGGCGAGCCGUUGAAACUGGCGGGCUGGAGUUGGGGAGAAGUACGCGGAAUGCGCGGUGUAGCGGUGAAAUGCUUAGAUAUCGCGCAGAACCCCGAUUGCGAAGGCAGCGUACCGGCUCCACACUGACGCUGAGGCACGAAAGCGUGGGUAUCGAACAGGAUUAGAUACCCCAGUAGUC